rnacentral:rRNA from 1 species
UACGUAGGGUGCGAGCGUUUGUCCGGAAUUAUUGGGCGUAAAGAGCUCGUAGGCGGUCUGUCGCGUCGAAUGUGAAAACCCGGGGCUCAACUCCGGGCUUGCAUUCGAUACGGGCAGGCUAGAGUUCGGUAGGGGAGUCUGGAAUUCCUGGUGUAGCGGUGAAAUGCGCAGAUAUCAGGAGGAACACCCGUGGCUAAGGCGGCUCUCUAGUACGGUACUGACGCUGAGACGCGAAAGCGUGGGGAGCGAACAGG